UUUUUUUUUGGUCGAACCAGUGGGGGCACGCUGAGUGCACCCACUGGGUGUAGUCCCCGAGACUACUGUCGAAUGUUUUUGAUUCGGCUGUGGUCUUAGAAACGUCAUUAUUGUCUCUUAGUUACUCGGAAGCAACUUAUCUUGGAAGUCUGUCGACUGAUUUUCCUUUUUACAGAAAUCUUGCGAACUUGUAGCUCGCUAUACUGAGUUGGAGAAUCAGCAGAUCCAGCUCAACCUUAGCUUGAAGCUUGCUCAGGAGAAUUUGAGGAAGGCGCAAGAAGAAGCGAAAGGUAUGGCUGGUGAGGUUCUCUAUUCUUAACGGGUGGCUUUUCUUUCUUCUCCAUUCUUGAUGUUGGUUCCACUCGACGCGCCACAGAUAAACUGGAGGAAGCUCUAAAGAAGAAGGACCAAGACCUUGCAGAGGCACAGAAGGAGGCCUCAAGCAAAACGAAGCUUGCAGAGGAGAAAUUGGCUUCGGUCGGAGCUCUUGAACAGGAGAACUCCAGACUGAAAACCGCUCUCGAGACAGCUAAUCGAGAUGCCAGUCGACUGAAGAAGGAGAAGAUGGCUCUGCACGACAAGGCGGGUGAGCUGGUGGGGAAGGUAAAAGAUCUGGAAGCUUAUCUCGGUGGACUUGCCAAGAAGUUGUUCGUCAUGCUCGAAGGUAAUUACUCUGCCCCGACUGUCUUGCAGUUUGCCGAGCCUGCGUAGGGCCACUGUCUUACUCUUGAAUCGUGUUUGCAUAAUUCUGUCAGAACUUUGAAGAGGAGACCAGUCGAGUGGAGCCAAGCUUGGACCCUGUUAACUCUCUUGUGAAGGACGAGGCUGCCAUGAACGUGCUCCGACUAGAGUCUUGUGUUGCCAGCGUCGUUGAUUAUCUGGCUCGGCUGAAAGUUGCAAUGUCGCGGAUCGACACAUCACUCUGGCCUGGGACGACGCUUCGGAACGACCUCGAGUCUCUGAUGGCUCGACUUAACGAAGUCCCAGGUCGAGUGGCGGAAUGGAAGAAAUCUUCUGCUAGAUGUGGUGCUGAUGUCGCUCUGUCUCUGGUCCGCGUCCAUUGCAAGGAGGCGCGAGAAGAAAAGCUGGUGGCCAUCCAAGUUGCAAAUACCAGGAAGCACGGCUUUCAAGACUUCAUGGAGACCUUCAUCGCCGCUGCCACCCGUAUUGCCGACGGGAUCGACUUGGAUGAGUUCAUCGCCCCUUCCAGUCCUCCUCCUGACGAGUGAAAAACUUUAAAUUUACCUCGGAAUGCAGAGUGGAUUUGUAACCGUUAAACUUUGCCUUAAAUUUGCCUCGGGAUGCCGAGUGGACUUGUAACAGUUAAACUUUGCCGAGCCGCGGGCUCGAGUACUUUGAGGUCUGGGACCUUUUAGGCUUUAUCCGAAAUCGAUUUCUCGUCGGGCAUCUUCAUGGUUAGAUUCGUCGAGUGGAACUUGAUCUUCACUCGGAAUGACCUUGUAUUUGCGGCGCAAUUCCGAAGGGGGAGUUAGCAGUCGACUCGCGGAUUGGGUCGAGUCUUGAACUUAGGCGAGCACUGGGCUGCAGCUAAGCCCCCGAGUGGGAGGUUUGCUCUCCACUUGGUAGGAUUUUUAAACACUUAGGCGAGUGCCGGACUGCAGCUAAGUCUCUAAGUGAGAGAAUUUAGGCGAGUGCCAGACUGCAGCUAAGCCCCCGAGUGGGAGGAUCGCUCUCCACUCGGUAGGAUUUUUUCAAACUUAGGCGAGUGCCGGACUGCAGCUAAGUCUCUAAGUGAGAGAACUUAGGCGAGUGCUGGACUGCAGCUAAGCCCCCGAGUGGGAGGUUUGCUCUCCACUCGGUAGGAUUNNNNNNNNNNNNNNNNNNNNNNNNNNNNNNNNNNNNNNNNNNNNNNNNNNNNNNNNNNNNNNNNNNNNNNNNNNNNNNNNNNNNNNNNNNNNNNNNNNNNNNNNNNNNNNNNNNNNNNNNNNNNNNNNNNNNNNNNNNNNNNNNNNNNNNNNNNNNNNNNNNNNNNNNNNNNNNNNNNNNNNNNNNNNNNNNNNNNNNNNNNNNNNNNNNNNNNNNNNNNNNNNNNNNNNNNNNNNNNNNNNNNNNNNNNNNNNNNNNNNNNNNNNNNNNNNNNNNNNNNNNNNNNNNNNNNNNNNNNNNNNNNNNNNNNNNNNNNNNNNNNNNNNNNNNNNNNNNNNNNNNNNNNNNNNNNNNNNNNNNNNNNNNNNNNNNNNNNNNNNNNNNNNNNNNNNNNNNNNNNNNNNNNNNNNNNNNNNNNNNNNNNNNNNNNNNNNNNNNNNNNNNNNNNNNNNNNNNNNNNNNNNNNNNNNNNNNNNNNNNNNNNNNNNNNNNNNNNNNNNNNNNNNNNNNNNACUGGGCCACAGCUAAGCCCCCGAGUGGGAGGUUUGCUCUCCACUCGAUAGGAUUUUUUCAAACUUAGGCGAGUGCCGGACUGCGGCUAAGUCUCUAGGCAAGAGAACUUAGGUGAGUGCUGGACUGCAGCUAAGCCCCCGAGUGGGAGGAUCGCUCUCCACUCGGUAGGAUUUUUAAAUACUUAGGCGAGCACUGGGCUGCAGCUAAGCCCCCGAGUGGGAGGUUUGCUCUUCACUCGGUAGGAUUUUUAAACACUUAGGCGAGCACUGGGCCGCAGCUAAUGUUGGAAAUAUGCCCUAGAGGCAAUAAUAAAUUGAUUAUUAUUAUAUUUCCUUGUUCAUGAUAAUCGUUUAUUAUCCAUGCUAGAAUUGUAUUGAUAGGAAACUCAGAUACAUGUGUGGAUACAUAGACAACACCAUGUCCCUAGUAAGCCUCUAGUUGACUAGCUCGUUAAUCAAUAGAUGGUUACGGUUUCCUGACCAUGGACAUUGGAUGUCGUUGAUAACGGGAUCACAUCAUUAGGAGAAUGAUGUGAUGGACAAGACCCAAUCCUAAGCCUAGCACAAGAUCAUGUAGUUCGUAUGCUAAAGCUUUUCUAAUGUCAAGUAUCAUUUCCUUAGACCAUGAGAUUGUGCAACUCCCGGAUACCGUAGGAGUGCUUUGGGUGUGCCAAACGUCACAACGUAACUGAGUGGCUAUAAAGGUACACUACGGGUAUCUCUGAAAGUGUCUGUUGGGUUGGCACGAAUCGAGAUUGGGAUUUUGUCACUCCGUGUAAACGGAGAGGUAUCUCUGGGCCCACUCAGUAGGACAUCGUCAUAAUGUGCACAAUGUGACCAAGGGGUUGAUCACGGGAUGAUGUGUUACGGAACGAGUAAAGAGACUUGCCGGUAACGAGAUUGAACAAGGUAUCGGUAUACCAACGAUCGAAUCUCGGGCAAGUACCAUACCGCUAGACAAAGGGAAUUGUAUACGGGAUUGAUUGAGUCCUUGACAUCGUGGUUCAUCCGAUGAGAUCAUCGUGGAACAUGUGGGAGCCAACAUGGGUAUCCAGAUCCCGCUGUUGGUUAUUGACCGGAGAGCAUCUCGGUCAUGACUACAUGUCUCCCGAACCCGUAGGGUCUACACACUUAAGGUUCGAUGACGCUAGGGUUAUAAAGGAAGUUUGUAUGUGGUUACCGAAUGUUGUUCGGAGUCCCGGAUGAGAUCCCGGACGUCACGAGGAGUUCCGGAAUGGUCCGGAGGUAAAGAUUUAUAUAUAGGAAGUCCUGUUUCGGUCAUCGGGACAAGUUUCGGGGUCAUCGGUAUUGUACCGGGACCACCGGAAGGGUCCCGGGGGCCCACCGGGUGGGGCCACCUGCCCCGGGGGGCCACAUGGGCUGUAGGGGGUGCGCCUUGGCCUACAUGGGCCAAGGGCACCAGCCCCUAGAGGCCCAUGCGCCAAGAUAUAGGAAAAAGGGGAGAGUCCUAAAGGGGGAAGGCACCUCCGAGGUGCCUUGGGGAGGAUGGACUCCUCCCCCCCUCUUAGCCGCACCCCUUCCUUGGAGGAAGGGGCAAGGCUGCGCCUCCCCCCUCUCCCCUGCCCCUAUAUAUAGUGGAGGGGAGGGAGGGCAUCCAUACCUGAGCCCUUGGCGCCUCCCUCCCUCCCGUGACACCUCCUCCUCUCCCGUAGGUGCUUAGCGAAGCCCUGCAGGAUUGCCACGCUCCUCCAUCACCACCACGCCGUUGUGCUACUGCUGGAUGGAUUCUUCCUCAACCUCUCCCUCUCUCCUUGCUGGAUCAAGGCGUGGGAGACAUCGUCGAGCUGUACGUGUGUUGAACGCGGAGGUGCCGUCCGUUCGGCACUAGGAUCAUCGGUGAUCUGAAUCACGACGAGUACGACUCCAUCAACCCCGUUCACUUGAACGCUUCCGCUUAGCGAUCUACAAGGGUAUGUAGAUGCACUCUCCUUCCCCUCGUUGCUGGUUUCUCCAUAGAUAGAUCUUGGUGACACGUAGGAAAAUUUUGAAUUUCUGCUACGUUCCCCAACAGUGGCAUCAUGAGCUAGGUCUAUUGCGUAGAUUCUUUGCACGAGUAGAACACAAAGUAGUUGUGGGCGUCGAUAUUGUUCAAUAUGCUUGCCGUUACUAGUCUUAUCUUGAUUCGGCGGCAUCGUGGGAUGAAGCGGCCCGGACCAACCUUACACGUACGCUUACGUGAGACCGGUUCCACCGACAAACAUGCACUAGUUGCAUAAGGUGGCUGGCGGGUGUCUGUCUCUCCCACUUUAGUCGGAUCGGAUUCGAUGAAAAGGGUCCUUAUGAAGGGUAAAUAGCAAUUGGCAUAUCACGUUGUGGUUCAUCCGUAGGUAAGAAACGUUCUUGCUAGAAACCCAUAGCAGCCACGUAAAACAUGCAAACAACAAUUAGAGGACGUCUAACUUGUUUUUGCAGGGUAUGCUAUGUGAUGUGAUAUGGCCAAAAAGGAUGUGAUGAAUGAUAUAUGUGGUGUAUGAGAUUGAUCAUGUUCUUGUAAUAGGAAUCACGACUUGCAUGUCGAUGAGUAUGACAACCGGCAGGAGCCAUAGGAGUUGUCUUUAUUUAUUUGUGACCUGCGUGUCAACUUAAACGUCAUGUAAUUACUUUACUUUAUUGCUAACCGUUAGCCAUAGUAGUAGAAGUAAUAGUUGGCGAGGCAACUUCAUGAAGACACGAUGAUGGAGAUCAUGAUGAUGGAGAUCAUGGUGUCAUGCCGGUGACGAUGAUGAUCAUGGAGCCCCGAAGAUGGAGAUCAAAAGGAGCAAAGUGAUGAUGGCCAUAUCAUGUCACUAUUUGAUUGCAUGUGAUGUUUAUCAUGUUUAUAGAUCUUAUUUUCUUAGAACGACGGUAGUAAAUAAGAUGAUCCCUUACAACAAUUUCAAGAAGUGUUCUCCCCUAACUGUGCACCAUUGCGACAGUUCAUGUUUCGAAGCACCACGUGAUGAUCGGGUGUUAGAUUCUAACGUUCACAUACAACGGGUGUAAGACAGAUUUACACACGCGAAACACUUAGGUUAACUUGACGAGCCUAGCAUGUACAGACAUGGCCUCAGAACACGGAGACCGAAAGGUCGAACAUGAGUCGUAUAGAAGAUACGAUCAACAUGAAGAUGUUCACCGAUGAUGACUAGUCCGUCUCACGUGAUGAUCGGACACGGCCUAGUUUGACUCAGAUCAUGUAAUCACUUAGAUGACUAGAGGGAUGUCUAUCUGAGUGGGAGUUCAUAAGAUGAACUUAAUUAUCCUGAACAUAGUCAAAAGGUUUUUGCAAAUUAUGUCGUAGCUCACGCUAUAGUUCUACUGUUUAGAUAUGUUCCUAGAGAAAAAUUAGUUGAAAGUUGAUAGUAGCAAUUAUGCGGACUAGGUCCGUAAAAUGAGGAUUAUCCUCAUUGCUUCAUAGAAGGCUUAUGUCCUUAAUGCACCGCUCAGUGUGCUGAACCUCGAACGUUGUCUGUGGUUGUUGCGAACAUCUGACAUACACGUUUUGAUAACUACGUGAUAGUUCAGUUAAACGGUUUAGAGUUGAGGCACCAAAGACGUUUUUGAAACAUCGCGAAACAUAUGAGAUGUUUUGAGGGCUGAAAUUGGGAUUUCAGGCUCGUGCCCAUGUCAAGAGGUAUAAGACCUCCGAUGACUUUCUUAACCUGCAAACUAAGGAGAAAAGCUCAAUUGUUGAGCUUGUGCUCAGAUUGUCUGAGUACAACAAUCAUUUGAAUCGAGUGGGAGUUGAUCUUCCAGAUAAGACAGUGAUGGUUCUCCAAAGUCAUUGCCACCAAGCUGUUAGAGCUUCGUGAUGAACUAUAACAUAUCAGGGAUAGAUAUGAUGAUCCUUGAGGUAUUCGCGAUGUUUGACACCGCGAAAGUAGAAAUCAAGAAGGAGCAUCAAUUGUUGAUGGUUGGUGAAACCACUAGUUUCAAGAAGGGCAAGGGCAAGAAGGGAUACUUCAUGAAACGGCAAAUCAGCUGCUGCUCUAGUGAAGAAACCCAAGGUAAAACCCAAACCUGAGACUAAGUGCUUCUGUAAUAAGGGGAACAACCACUAGAGCAGAAUUACCCUAGAUACUUGGUAGAUAAGAAGGAUGGCAAGGUCGAUAGAAGUAUAUUGGAUAUACAUUGUGUUAAUGUGUACUUUGCUAGUACUCCUAGUAGCACCAGGGUAUUAGAUACCGGUUCGGUUGCUAAGUGUUAGUAACUCGAAACAAAAGGCUACGGAAUAAACAGAGACUAGCUAAAGGUGAGCUGACGAUAUGUGUUGGAAGUUUUUCCAAGCUUGAUAUGAUCAAGCAUUGCACGCUCCCUCUACCAAAGAGAUUGGUGUUAAACCUAAAUAAUUGUUAUUUGGUGUUUGCGUUGAGCAUAGACAUGAUUGGAUUACGUCUAUCGCAAUACGGUUAUUCAUUUAAGGAGAAUAAUGGUUACUCUGUUUAUUUGAAUAAUACCUUCAAUGGUCUUACACCUAAAAUGAAUGGUUCAUUAAAUCUCGAUCGUAGUGAUACACAUGUUCAUGCCAAAAGAUAUAAGAUAGUAAUGAUAGUAUCACCUACUUGUGGCACUGCCACGUAAGUCAUAUCGGUAUAAAACGCAUGAAGAAGCUCCAUAUUGAUGGAUCUUUGGGCUCACUCGUUUUUGAAAAGUUUGAGACAUGCGAACCAUGUCUAUUGGUAUAUAUGCAUGAAGAAACUCCAUGCAAAUGGACCGUUUUGACUCACUUGAUUUUGAAUCACUUGGGACAUGCAAAUCAUACCACAUGGGCAAGAUGACUGAAAAGCCUCGUUUUCAGUAAGAUGGAACAAGAUAGCAACUUGUUGGAAGUAACACAUUUUGAUGUGUGCAGUCCAAUGAGUGCUGAGGCAUGCAGUGAAUAUCGUUAUGUUCUUACUUCACAGAUGAUUCGAGUAGAUGUUGAGUAUAUUUACUUGAUGAAUCACGAGUCUGAAUUAUUGAAAGGUUCAAGUAAUUUCAGUGUGAAGUUGAAAGAUCGUCGUGACAAGAGGAUAAAAGAUCUAUGAUAUGAUCAUAGAGAUGAAUAUCUGAAUCACGAGUUUGGCACACAAUUAAGACAUUGUGGAAAUUGUGUCCAAACGUCAUAGUUGCAUCCUAUUGGAUAUGGUGCAUACCAUGAUGUCUCUUAUCGAGUUACCACCAUCGUUCAUGGGUUAGGCAUUAGAGACAACCACAUUCACUUUAAAUAGGGCACCACAUAAUUUCGUUGAGACGACACCGUAUGAACUAUGGUUUGGAGAAACCUAAGUUGCCGUUUCUUGAAAGUUUGGGGCUGCGACGCUUAUGUGAAAAGGUUUCAGGUUGAUAAGCUCGAACCCAAAGCAGAUAAAAUGCAUCUUCAUAGGACACCCAAAAACAGUUGGGUAUACCUCCUAAUUCAGAUCCAAAAGCAAUAGGGAUUGUUUCUUGAAUCGGGUCCUUUUUCGAGGAAAGGUUUCUCUCGAAAAGUUGAGUGGGAGGAUGGUGGAGACUUGAUGAGGUUAUUGAACCGUCACUUCAACAAGUGUGUAGCAGGGCACAGGAAGUUGUUCCUGUGGCACGUACACCAACUGAAGUGGAAGCUUAUGAUAGUGAUCAUGAAACUUCGGAUCGAGUCACUACCAAACCUCAUGGGAUGACAAGGAUGCGUACUACUUCAGAGUGGUACGUAAUCCUGUCUUGGAAGUCAUGUUGCUAGACAACAAUUAACCUACGAGCUAUGGAGAAGCGAUGGUGGGCCCGGAUUCCGAUAAAUGGCUCAAGGCCAUAAAACCUGAGAGAGGAUCCAUGUAUGAAAACAAAGUGUAGACUUUGGAAGAACUACUUGAUGGUCGUAAGGCUGUUAGGUACAUAUGGAUUUUGAAAGGAAGACAGACAAUGAUGGUAAGUGUCACCAUUGAGAAAGCUCGACUUGUCGUUAAGAUGUUUUUCGACAAGUUCAAGGAGUUCACUACGAUGAGACUUUCUCACUCGUAGCGAUGCUAAGAGUCUGUUGGAAUUAUAUUAGCAAUUACUGCAUUAUUUAUGAAAUCUUGCAGAUAGGAUGUCAAAACAUUGUUUCCUCGACGAUUCUUGAGGAAAGGUUGUAUGUGAUACAACCGGAAGGUUUUGUCUAUCCUGAAAUAUGCUAAUAAGUAUGCAAAGCUCCAGCAAUCCUUCUGAGGACUGGAGUGAGCAUCUCGGAGUUGGAAUGUAUGCUUUGAUGAUGAUCAAAGAUUUUGGGUGUAUACAAAGUUUAUGAGAAACUUGUAUUUCCAAAGAAGUGAGUGGGAGCACUAUAGAAUUUCUGAUGAGUAUAUGUUGUUGACAUAUUAAUGAUUAGAAAUGACGUAGAAUUUCUGGAAAGCAUAUAGGGUUAUUUGGAAAGUGUUUUCAAUGGAAAACCUAGAUUAAGCUACUUGAACAUUGAGCAUCAAGAUCUAUAAGGAUAGAUCAAAACGCUUAAUAGUACUUUCAAAUGAGCACAUGCCUUGACGUGAUCUUGAAGGUGUUCAAGAUGGAUCAGUCAAAGAAGGAGUUCUUGCCUGAGUUGUAAGGUAUGAAGUUAAGACUUAAAGCUCGACCAUGGCAGAAUAGAGAGAAAGGAACGAAGGUCGUCCCCUAUGCUUAAGACAUAGGCUCUACAGUAUGCUAUGCUGUGUACCGCACCUGAAGUGUGCUUUACCAUGAGUCAGUCAAGGGGUACAAGAGUGAUCCAAGAAUGGAUCACAGGACAGCGGUCAAAGUUAUCCUUAGUAACUAGUGGACUAAGGAAUUUUCUCAAUCAUGGAGGUGGUAAAAGAGUUCGUCGUAAAGGGUUACGUCGAUGCAAGCUUAACACCUAUCCGGAUAGCUCUGAGUAGAGAUACCGGAUACGUAUAAUGGAGCAACAAUUUGGAAUAGCUCCAAGUAGAACAGUUAUUUGGAAUAGCUCCAAAUAGAACGUGGUAGCUGCAUCUAGGAGAUGACAUAGAGAUUUGUAAAGCACACACGGAUCUGAAAGGUUCAAACCCGUUGACUAUAACCUCUCUCACAAGCAUAACAUGAUCAAACCCAGAACUCAUCGAGUGUUAAUCACAUGGUAAAUGUGAACUAGAUUAUUGACUCUAGUAAACUCUUUGGGUGUUAGUCACAUGGGGAUGUGACCUUGAGUGUUAAUCACAUAUCGAUGUGAACUAGAUUAUUGACUCUAGUGCAAGUGGGAGACUGUUGGAAAUAUGCCCUAGAGGCAAUAAUAAAUUGAUUAUUAUUAUAUUUCCUUGUUCAUGAUAAUCGUUUAUUAUCCAUGCUAGAAUUGUAUUGAUAGGAAACUCAGAUACAUGUGUGGAUACAUAGACAACACCAUGUCCCUAGUAAGCCUCUAGUUGAGUAGCUCGUUAAUCAAUAGAUGGUUACGGUUUCCUGACCAUGGACAUUGGAUGUCGUUGAUAACGGGAUCACAUCAUUAGGAGAAUGAUGUGAUGGACAAGACCCAAUCCUAAGCCUAGCACAAGAUCAUGUAGUUCGUAUGCUAAAGCUUUUCUAAUGUCAAGUAUCAUUUCCUUAGACCAUGAGAUUGUGCAACUCCCGGAUACCGUAGGAGUGCUUUGGGUGUGCCAAACGUCACAACGUAACUGGGUGGCUAUAAAGGUACACUACGGGUAUCUCUGAAAGUGUCUGUUGGGUUGGCACGAAUCGAGAUUGGGAUUUUGUCACUCCGUGUAAACGGAGAGGUAUCUCUGGGCCCACUCGGUAGGACAUCAUCAUAAUGUGCACAAUGUGACCAAGGGGUUGAUCACGGGAUGAUGUGUUACGGAACGAGUAAAGAGACUUGCCGGUAACGAGAUUGAACAAGGUAUCGGUAUACCGACGAUCGAAUCUCGGGCAAGUACCAUACCGCUAGACAAAGGGAAUUGUAUACGGGAUUGAUUGAGUCCUUGACAUUGUGGUUCAUCCGAUGAGAUCAUCGUGGAACAUGUGGGAGCCAACAUGGGUAUCCAGAUCCCGCUGUUGGUUAUUGACCGGAGAACAUCUCGGUCAUGACUACAUGUCUCCCGAACCCGUAGGGUCUACACACUUAAGGUUCGAUGACGCUAGGGUUAUAAAGGAAGUUUGUAUGUGGUUUCCGAAUGUUGUUCGGAGUCCCAGAUGAGAUCCCGGACGUCACGAGGAGUUCCGGAAUGGUCCGGAGGUAAAGAUUUAUAUAUAGGAAGUCCUGUUUCGGCCAUCGGGACAAGUUUCGGGGUCAUCGGUAUUGUACCGGGACCACCGGAAGGGUCCCGGGGGCCCACCGGGUGGGGCCACCUGCCCCGGGGGGCCACAUGGGCUGUAGGGGGUGCGCCUUGGCCUACAUGGGCCAAGGGCACCAGCCCCUAGAGGCCCAUGCGCCAAGAUAUAGGAAAAAGGGGAGAGUCCUAAAGGGGGAAGGCACCUCCGAGGUGCCUUGGGGAGGAUGGACUCCUCCCCCCCUCUUAGCCGCACCCCUUCCUUGGAGGAAGGGGCAAGGCUGCGCCUCCCCCCUCUCCCCUGCCCCUAUAUAUAGUGGAGGGGAGGGAGGGCAUCCAUACCUGAGCCCUUGGCGCCUCCCUCCCUCCCGUGACACCUCCUCCUCUCCCGUAGGUGCUUAGUGAAGCCCUGCAGGAUUGCCACGCUCCUCCAUCACCACCACGCCGUUGUGCUGCUGCUGGAUGGAGUCUUCCUCAACCUCUCCCUCUCUCCUUGCUGGAUCAAGGCGUGGGAGACAUCGUCGAGCUGUACGUGUGUUGAACGCGGAGGUGCCGUCCGUUCGGCACUAGGAUCAUCGGUGAUCUGAAUCACGACGAGUACGACUCCAUCAACCCCGUUCACUUGAACGCUUCCGCUUAGCGAUCUACAAGGGUAUGUAGAUGCACUCUCCUUCCCCUCGUUGCUGGUUUCUCCAUAGAUAGAUCUUGGUGACACGUAGGAAAAUUUUGAAUUUCUGCUACGUUCCCCAACAGCUAAGCCCCCGAGUGGGAGGUUUGCUCUCCACUCGGUUGGAUUUUUUCAAACUUAGGCGAGUGCCAGACUGCGGCUAAGUCUCUAGGCGAGAGAACUUAGGCGAGUGCUAGACUGCAGCUAAGCCCCCGAGUGUAGGAUUUUUUCAAACUUAGGCGAGUGCCGGACUGCAGCUAAGUCUCUAGGCGAGAGAUCUUAGGCGAGUGUUGGACUGCAGCUAAGCCCCCGAGUGGGAGGAUCGCUCUCCACUCGGUAGGAUUUUUUCAAACUUAGGCGAAACGGAUUCGCAGCUAAGUCACCCACUGGGGGAUUCCGUAUGUAAACAAAAGUGACGAUAAUUAAUGGAACACUCUUGCCUUUGAUAAAAACGAACUGCAGGAAUUUUUCUUAUUACAUCUCGUCCAAGGGAGAGCUCAAGUGUAAAAGGGGCAGAGUAGUUCCGCAUUCCAAGCUCGAGGCUCGUUGACCUGGCGAUCAACAUUGUAGAGGUGAUACGCUCCAUUGUGGAGGACUCUGGUGAUGAUGAAGGGGCCUUCCCAAGUAGGAGCAAGCUUGUGUGGUUUCUGUUGAUCCACUCGGAGGACCAAAUCUCCUUCUUGGAAGGCUCGACUCUUCACAUUCCGGGCGUGGAAUUGACGCAAGUCUUGCUGAUAAAUGGUCGAUCUGAUCAUGGCCAUCUCCCUCUCUUCUUCUAGGAGGUUGACUGCGUCUUGCCGGGCCUGUUCUGCUUCAUCUUCGGUGUAAAGCUCGACUCGGGGCGCGUUGUGAAGAAGAUCACUUGGCAGAACCGCUUCGGCUCCAUAGACCAGAAAGAAUGGAGUUCUUCCAGUCGACCGGUUAGGGGUGGUCCUCAAUCCCCACAGAACUGACGGAAGCUCGUCGACCCAAGCACCUGCCGCGUGCUUGAGAUCACGCAUCAGUCGAGGCUUCAGUCCUUUGAGAAUCAAACCAUUUGCUCUUUCAGCUUGUCCAUUCGACUGAGGAUGUGCGACCGACACGUAGUCGACUCGCGUGCCUUGAGAGGCGCAAAAAGCUCUGAACUGGUCCGAAUCAAAGUUUGACCCAUUGUCAGUGAUGAUGCUAUGAGGGACUCCAUAUCUGAAUGUUAGUCCUCUGACGAAACUGAUAGCAGUGCCAGCAUCGAGGUUCUUGAUAGGCUUGGCUUCAAUCCAUUUGGUGAACUUGUUGACUGCCACAAGCACAUGCGUGAAUCCGCUCCUGCCUGUUCUCAGUGGACCAACCAUGUCCAGUCCCCAGACAGCAAAGGGCCAGACGAGUGGAAUGGUCUUCAGGGUUGAUGCAGGCUUGUGUGACAUGUUGGAGUAGAACUGGCAGCCUUCACACUUGUCGACUAUCUCUUUUGCCAUCUCAUUUGCUCUAGGCCAGUAAAAUCCCGCUCGGUAUGCUUUAGACACAAUGGUCUGAGAGGACGCAUGGUGGCCACAGGUCUUCGAGUGGAUAUCAUCAAGGAUUAUCCGACCUUCUUCUGGUGUUAUGCACUUCUGACCGAUUCCAGUCGGGCUUUCUCUAUACAACUGCCCCUUUAUGACUGUGAAGGCCUUGGAUCGGCGGACGAUCUGUCGAGCCUCUUCCUCGUCUUCUGGGAGCUCUUUCCUUAGGAUAUACGCGAUGUACGGUAUCGUCCAGUCAAGAGUGAUUGCCAAGACUUCCAUGAUUAGGUCGACCAUAGCAGGAACUUCGACUUCAGUCGGAUCUGUGGCACUUUUUGGUUGUGGGGCUUCUUCUGUGAAAGGAUCCUCCUGGACUGACGGCGAGCGGAUGUGCUCCAGAAACACAUUGCUGGGAAUGGCUUCUCUCUUGGAGCCUAUUUUUGCCAGAUCAUCAGCUGCUUGGUUUUUCAGUCGGGGGAUGUGAUGAAGCUCUAACCCUUCAAAUUUCUUUUCUAGCUUUCUCACUGCAUUGCAAUAACCAGUCAUAGCUGGACUUCUGACGUCCCACUCCAUCACCUGAUUAACCACCAAAUCUGAGUCGCCAUAGACCAUGAGGCGACGGACGCCGAGUGAAAUGGCCAUGCACAACCCAUACAAAAGUGCUUCAUACUCUGCUUCAUUGUUGGAGGAAUCGAAGUGAAUCUGGAGAACAUAUCUGAGCCUAUCUCCUCGGGGGGAGACUAGAACUACCCCAGCACCGGAACCAUUCAGCAUCUUAGAUCCAUCGAAGAACAUGGUCCAGUGCUCCGAGUGAACUUGAGUCGGCAGUUGCUGUUCAAUCCACUCGGCGAUGAAAUCUGCGAUUGCUUGGGACUUGAUAGCCUUCUUUGCUUCAAACUUGAUAUCUAAGGGAAGGAGUUCAAUUGCCCACUUGGCCACUCGACCAGUUGCAUCUCUGUUAUGCAGAAUCUCUGACAGUGGGGCAUCGCUGACGACUAUAAUGGAGUGGUCAGAGAAGUAAUGUGCAACCUUCUUGGUGGUCAUAUAAAUCCCAUAUACAAGCUUCUGGUAGUGAGGGUAUCUUUGUUUUGAAGGUGUCAAAACUUCAGACACAUAAUAGACUGAGCGCUGAACUCUGAAGGCCUUUCCUUCUUCUUCCCGCUCGACCGUAAGUACUAUGCUGACAACUUGCCCUGUGGCUGCAAUGUAAAGCAGCAGAGGCUCUUUGCUGAUUGGGGCGGCAAGCACCGGCUGGGUGGAGAGCAGAGCUUUGAGCUCUGCAAAUGCUGCAUCAGCUUCCGGAGUCCACUCGAACUUGUCAGACUUCUUCAUCAGUCGGUAAAGGGGCAACGCCUUUUCACCGAGAGGAGAAAUGAAUCGACUUAGGGCGGCCAAGCAGCCUGUAAGCUUUUGGACGUCGUGCACGCGAACGGAGCGCUUCAUCCGGAGUAUGGUGCCAACUUUUUCAGGAUUGGCGUCGAUCCCCCGUUCGGAAACGAGAAAACCGAGUAACUUUCCACCUGGAACUCCGAAUGUGCACUUUGAUGGAUUGAGCUUGAUAUCAUACCUCCUAAGGUUGACAAAGGUUUCGGCAAGGUCAGCUCGCAGGUCGGAACCUUUGCGUGACUUGACCACAAUAUCAUCCAUGUAUGCCUCCAUAUUCCGACUGAUUUGAGUGAGUAAACACUUCUGAAUCAUUCUCAUGAACGUGGCUCCGGCGUUCUUGAGGCCGAACGGCAUGGUGACAUAACAGAAGCAUCCGAAUGGGGUGAUGAAAGCUGUUUUGAUUUCGUCGGGUCCAUACAGACGAAUCUGAUGGUACCCGGAAUAAGCAUCUAGAAAAGACAAUCUCUCGCACCCCGCAGUCGAGUCGACUAUUUGGUCGAUGCGCGGGAGAGGAAAAUGAUCUUUCGGGCAGGCCCGAUUGAUAUGUUUGAAAUCAAUGCACAUGCGAAGUGACUUGUCCUUCUUGGGGACCAUGACGACAUUGGCGAGCCACUCGGAGUGGUAAAUCUCUCGGAUAAACUCCGCUGCUAAGAGCCGAGCCACCUCCUCGCCAAUGGCUUUCCUCUUCUGGACGGCGGACCGUCGAAGAUGUUCUUCCACAGGCUUGAACUUCGGGUUGACUCGUAGACGGUGCUCAGCCAGCCCUCUGGGAACUCCAGGCAUGUCAGAGGGUUUCCAUGCGAAGAUGUCCCAGUUCUCACGGAGGAUCUGGAUGAGCGCUUCUUCCUAUUUGGAGUCAAGCGUCGUUGAGAUGUGAGUCGGGGCAGCAUCGGGGUCGGUCGGGUGAAUGUGGACUGUCUUUGUUUCACCGGACGACUGAAAAGCUGAUUCUGAAGCAGGCUUCUUGGCUCGUAGCAACUCGCUUGGAUCGGCAGUCUUUUGGUACUCUUGCAGCUCGACCACUGCCAUCUGAGCAUCUGCAAUCUUUGAGCCCUUCUGAAAGCACUCUUCUCCCUUCUUCCGAUUGCCUGUAACAGUGAUCACACCUUUGGGGCCAGGCAUCUUCAAUUUGAGAUACACGUAACAUGGCCGGGCCAUGAAGCGUGCGUAAGCUGGCCUGCCCAAAAUGGCGUGAUAAGCACUUUGGAAGUCCACAACCUCGAAUGUCAACUUUUCCUUGCGGUAAUUCUUUGAAUCACCGAAAAUCACAUCAAGAGCGAUCUGGCCGAGUGAUUGGGCUUUCUUCCCAGGAAUGACUCUGUGGAAACUCAUGUUACUGGUGCUGAGCCUGGACAUCGGAAUGCCCAUUCCUUUCAAUGUUUCAGCAUACAGUAUGUUCAGGCCACUGCCACCAUCCAUCAGGACUUUAGUCAGUCGAGUGCCUUCAACAAUUGGGUCGACCACCAAAGCUUGCCUCCCAGGGGUGGCAAUGUGCGUUGAGUGAUCAGACUGGUCGAAUGUGAUGGCAGUCUGAGACCACUUCAGGUAACUGGGUGUUGCCGGGGCAACCAUGUUCACCUCUCGGUUAAUGACUUUCAGUCGACUUUUGCUUUCGACAUCGGCAAAAAUCAUCAGGGUGGAAUUGACUUGGGGGUAUCCAUCGUCACUGUCUUCCUUGUCCUCGACUCUGUCCGACUCUUUUUCCUUAUCCUUGGACUGCUUUCCUUGGAACUGCUGGAUCAGGAGCCGGCACUGUCGAGUGGUAUGCUUUGGGUAAAUAAAAUUACCCUCUUCAUCCUUCUUGGUGUGGAUGUGACAUGGCAGAUCCAAAACAUCAUUUCCGUCUUGAUCCUUGACUUUCUUGGGCUUCCAGGGGCCUUUGGGUUUUCCUUUGAAAUUUCCCUGGGUUGCGGCCAGGGCCUCCCCAAGGGCGGCUGGCUCGGCCUUCCGCUUCUGCUUCCGACUGGAAUUGCCUCCGGUUUCCUGGGCGACUGCUUUCUGCUUGCCACUCCGGAGUCGAUCUUCAUCUUCUUCGUUAGCGUACUUGGUGGCAAUCUCCAUCAUCCGAUUCAGAGACAUCUCUCCAGUUCGACCGAACUUCAGAUUCAACUCUCUGUAUUUAACACAUUCCUUGAAGGCACAAACUGCUUGAUGGUCUGGCACAUUCUCAACCGAGUGAUGCAGCGUGAUCCACCUUUGAAUGUAUUCCCUCAGAGUUUCAUUCGGCUUCUGCACGCAAGACCGCAACUCUGUAAGGCCUGCAGGUUGCUUGCAUGUUCCUUCAAAGGUUGUGAUAAACACUCGGGAGAGGUCCUCCCAAGUGUAUAUGCUGCUGGGUGCCAACUGAUUUAGCCACGCUCUGGCUGAGCCCUCUAACAUGAGAGGUAAAUGCUUCAUGGCCACCUCAUCAUUGCCACCGCCAAUCUGUACAGCCACUCGGUAAUCUUCGAGCCAAGUGUCAGGCUUAGAUUCACCGAUGAACUUGUUGAUUCCAGUCGCCAGCCUGAAAUUGGGAGGAAUCACUGCGGCUCUGAUGGCUCGAUUGAAACACUCUGGCCCUGAAGCAUGUACUCUGCUGCUGGCAGGCGCAUCUCUGUUGUGGCCUUCUCGAUGAGCUCUGUUCCUGUCAACCAAACCUUGAAUGAGGAUGGAUCUCGCAUCAAAGCCUGGGUCUCUGGGGUCGACUGGAAUCCUCUGCCCAACACUAUGAGGGCGUCUGUCAUCUUGCCGUCGAGGCGCAUACGACCCACUCCUCGGGGGAGGGGUUGGCACUCGACGUCGAUCAUCGCGGUCGAAUCGGUGAUCAUACUGCUCAUUCCUCCUGUACUGAUCAUGCCGGUCACCACAUCCCUCACGCCUUGGGGGCGAUCUCGGGCUGUGAGCCGACUCGACUGUAUCUGUUGCGACAGAUCGACUGUGGAUCCUAUCCCGCGACUGAGAGAUAGCGGAAUUCUGGUUUCCCACCGCCCGGAGCAACGCUCUGAUUUGUAACAAGCCCCUGCCAGCCUCCGACUGGGAGGGCUGAAUUGAUUCUGCUAUACGGGCCGCAGCGGCCAAAUUCUGAACUGGGGUUUGAUAUACCUGUGUCGGCGGGAAGAGCUGGCGUCGACUAGACUCGGGAGCCCGCUGACGCGCUCGCUCGUCGAGUGCUCGCUGGAGAUUCUCCAGUCGAGUGCGCUCGGCCAAAUUAGCCAAACGCGCGUCCUCCAAGGCCCGGGCCUCGGGGGACUCACCGACGAUAGGGGUGUAGAGGGCGUCUUUCCAGCGGCGAAGCUCCUCUCGCUGUGAUGACGUGAGAGGUUCGGGGAGAUACUCAUCGUGGGGAUGCGACGGAUCGCCCCCACCCGCGCCUCCACCAGCGCGAGGGAAACCAGGAGGACUGUGCGUCCCAUCGACCGCCAGAACCUCCGCCGAUGGGUCGCUGCUGUCGCACUCGGAUGCGGUCUCCGCGGAGCCAGUCGACAGGUCUAACAGGCCGUAGAGGGAUUCGUCGGGCUCGAUCGCCGCGACUUGCGGGGUGGCCGACUGGCGAGCCACGACAUGUCUCACCCACCUCUGAAGUCUCGACCGACCGGAGCGCUUGCGCCGGUGGGAGGCAGAGCGGGGAGACGAUACGGGGGCUGAUCGAUAUUGGGUCGACGGUUGCCGCAGGAGGACGCCACGAACGCAUGCGCGGAAAUGCGUCGCACCGCGGACGGCGAGCGCGUCGAUGUCGAGUGGCGCCUCCUGAAGCCAGGCGGAGUCGUCGGCGAUGAACGUGAGCGCGCCGAGACGGAUCUCGCGGCCCUCCAUCAAAAUUCCGCACGAAACCAUGAUCAAAGGGGAUCGGAAAAAUCGCAACUUCUCCAAUCAGGCGCUAAGACUGCUGCCCCACGGUGGGCGCCAACUGUCGUGGUUCUAACUCUGACAGUGAUGUAGGGGGGUGAAUAUGGAGAGGCUAGAUCUUAGCUAUUGGAAAGUUGUUACACGCGAGGUUUACGAGUUCAGGCCCUUCUCAGAGGAAGUAAUAGCCCUACAUCUCGGAGCCCGGAGGCGGUCGACUGGAUUAUGCGUGUAUGGAUUACCGGGGUGCGAACCCUUCACACUGAGGAGGGGGUGGCUUAUAUAGAGUUCGCCGGACCCCUCCUGCCCUCAGUAAUGCAGGGUUUAAGGUACAUUUAAGGUUGGGUGUUACUGGUAACGCCCCUAAUAAAAUGCUAUAAUGAUCAUAAAGACUACUUAAUAGCCGACCGUUUGCCUGUGGAGUGACUUUAGGUCUCCUGGCAGUCGAGUGGUUGGCUUCAUAGUCGAGUGAUAGCUUCUUGGUCGAGUGUCUUGAACCCGUCGAGUGGGAUACCUUCAAGUCGAUUGAAAGGUGACUUCUUCUAGGGGUGUCCUAGGGUAGGACUCUUUGGUCAGGUUCGUGUCCCUACCCUAGGUACAUGUCUUCAUCACUCAUCCCACACACGUACACCUGUUCCAUUCCACAGUUGUAAGAGUUCUUCAACUAAUGGCCUUAGGUACACAUCAAUGUCGUUGCCGGAUUGCUUAGGGCCUUGGAUGAGCACUGGCAUCAUAAUGAACUUCCGCUUCAUGCACAACCAAGGAGGAAGGUUAUACAAACAUAGAGUCACAGGCCAGGUGCUAUGGUUGCUGCUCUGCUCCCCAAAAGGAUUAAUGCCAUCUGCGCUUAGACCAAACCAUAUGCUCCUUGCGUCAUCUGCAAACUCCUUCCCGUACUUUCUUUCGAUUUUUCUCCACUGCGACCCGUCAGUGGGUACUCUCAACUUUCUGUCUUUUUUACGGUCUUCUCUGUGCCAUCGCAUCGCCUUGGCAUGCUCUUUGUUUUGGAACAAACGUUUCAACCGUGGUAUUAUAGGAGCAUACCACAUCACCUUGGCAGGAAUCUUCUUCCUGGGGCGCUCGUCCUCGACAUCACCAGGGUCAUCGCGGCUGAUCUUAUAGCGCAAUGCACCACAUACCGGGCAAGCGUUCAAAUCCUCGUACUCACCGCGGUAGAGGAUGCAAUCAUUAGGGCAUACAUGUAUCUUCUGCACCUCUAACCCUAGAGGCCAGACAACCUUCUUUGCUUCGUACAUACUCUCGGGCAAUUCGUUGUCCUUUGGAAGCAUAUCCUUUAUCAUUACCAGCAACUUUCCAAAUCCCUUAUCAGAUACACCAUUCUCUGCCUUCCAUUGCAGCAAUUCCAGUAUGGUGCCCAGCUUUUUCUUGUCACCUACGCAAUUGGGGUACAACAAUUUUUUGUGAUCCUCUAACAUGCGCUGCAACUUCUUCUUCUCCAAAUCACUUGCGCAGUUUCUCUUUGCAUCAGCAAUGGCCCAACCUAGAUCAUCAACGGGCUCAUCUGAUGCCUCUUCUUCAGCUUCUUCCCGCAUUGCCGGCUCAGCUUCUUCCCGCAUUACCGGCUCAGCUUCUUCCCCCAUUGUUGUAUCAUCGUAUUCAGGGAACCCAUGGCCAAGAUAGUUGUCGUCGUCCUCUUCUUCUUCAUUGUCUUCCAUCAUAACCCCUCUUUCUCCGUGCUUGGUCCAAACAUUAUAGUGGGGCACGAAACCGGACUUAAACAGGUGGACGUGAAUGAUUCUUGACUUAGAGUAAUUUUGAUCAUUCUUACAGCCAGCACAUGGACAAGGCAUAAAACCAUCCGCCCGCUUGUUUGCCUCAGCCGCAAGCAGAAAAGUAUGCACGCCCUCAACAAACUGGGGAGAGCAUCGGUCAUCGUACAUCCAUUGUCGGCUCAUCUUCAUUACACAACACCGAAUAGACCAAAUUAAUACAAGUUCAUACAUAAAGUUCAUACAACACUUAAAUGCAACAAACAAAUAACUCUCUAGCUAAAGCAUUUAAAUGCAACAACAAAUGCGAUCAAGAUCGCAACUAAGGCAACAAUGGAUCCAACAGCAUAAUGAUACCAAGCCUCACUAUCGAUGGCAUAUUUUCUAAUCUUUCUAAUCUUCAAGCGCAUUUUCUCCAUCUUGAUCUUGUGAUCAUCGACGACAUCGGCAACAUGCAACUCCAAUUCCAUCUUCUCCCCCUCAAUUCUUUUCAAUUUUUCUUUCAAGUACUCGUUUUCUCUUUCAACUAAAUUUAAUCUCUCGACAAUAGGGUCGGUUGGAAUUUCUGGUUCACAUACCUCCUAGAAAAAAUUUCUAUGUCAACUUGAUGGGCAUAAUUUGUCAUAAACACGAAAUGCAACUAGUUUUAAAAGAGAAUAUAUAUACCACAUCCGAAUCAUAACAAGGACGAGGACCGACGGGGACGGAUAUCAAAACCAUGGCACUAUAUGUAUAACAAACAACAUACGGGUAAGAUAAUUAUACGAGUAACUAUAUAUCCAAAUCACACAAACAUCAAUUUUUAUAUAAAAUUUCAUGAACAAGAGGCUCACCAUAAGGUGGUGCCGGCGACGGGACGGUGCGGGCGAUCGACGGUGGUUAUGACGGAGAUUUAGAAGGCACUAAGUAAACCACACCUACAUAUGCAAACUAAGUGUUAUUUUUGACCUCAAAUUGCAUAUAAAUCAAAUACUAGCACAUAUAUAUAUAUAUCCUCCCAAAUUACUAAACUCACAAAUUAAUCACUAUAUAAAGCAUUAGAAGAGCUAAUCUAGCAAUGAGAGAUGAAAGGACAAAGUUGCUAACCUUUGUGAUCAUUUGAAUGGAUGGGGGCCUUCAAAUCUUGACAAAUUUUGGGCAAAAUGUGUGAUGAGCUCGAGAGUAAGAGGGGAAGAACAGAGAGAGGAGAGGGGAAAGGGGAAGAACAGAGCGAGCCCGUGCUCUCGGGUGGACGAAGGGUUUAUGUAGGACGACCUUUAGCACCGGUUCGUGCCAAGAACCGGUACUAAAGGGGCUGGAGGGGUCCCAGUCUGACAACAUCCUGCCACCACUCUCAUUAGUAUCGGUUCGUGGCACGAACCGGUGCUAAAGGUUCGCCACGAACCGGUACUAAUGAAAGCGGCCCGGCUAGCCGUUGGAACCGGCACUAAUGUAUACAUUAGUGCCGGCUCAAAUACAAACCGGCACUAAUGUGCUUCACGUUUGACCCUUUUUCUACUAGUGGAAGAAGUUGUUGGCAUGUGCAUGUACUACUUGUAUACUUUAGAUAAUCGAUGAGUUUCGUGGUGAUCCCUUCUUUAUUAUACUACUACUAAGGCCUCCUUUGGUUUAGAGGAAUUUCAUAGGAAUUCUAGAGGAUAGGAUUCUUAUAGGAUUUUUUCGUUUAGAGCUCUUUGGUUCAUAGGAAUGGAUUCCUAUUCCUACAUAGGAUUGGUUUCUAUCCUCCACAUUUCAUAGAAAAAUAAAAAAGAGCCUAGACUCAAUGAAAAAAUUCCUUUGGUGUCAACCAAAUGAUAUCUUGUUUCCUAUUCCUACUCAUAGGAUUUGAGAUACAUGUCAUCUCAUUUCCUACAAGAUUCUUAUUCCUAUGAUAAUCCUAUCCUAUGAACCAAAAGAGGCCUAAAAUAGAUAUUGUACUGUGUUGUGUUUUGCUUUGUGUAUUGAUCGCAUCCUUUCGUAUGAGAAUGUAGGGCACAAAGGGAAUCAAAUACUUAAAUGUUUAUGUUGCGUCUCCCGCAAAAAAAUGUUUAUGUUGCGUCCCCCGCAAAAGAAAAAUGUUUAUGUUGCGAAACUGGUUUUAUGGCCAAUCUAACGAUACUAUUCCACCUAGCCCACCUAACUGCUUCAUGUCCGGGGUGAAGACUUUUGUUUUGACCUUGAUUUGUUGGGCGCAGCAGCGGCGAACUUGCGUUGUUAUUUUGUUGAAGACGUUGUUUUCCUACCGAUGUGCUGGCCUUCAACGGUUGAUCUCGAUAAUUAGGAUGAAAAUACUUGUCUUGGCCCUUCUUUGGCUGGAUGUGACGGCGGUGUCGUGAGGACGUUUAUUUCUUUUGAAAGCGUUGCUGCAAAAGAAAUUAACUUAGUUAUAGAUGUUAAUUUCAUCUUGUUUGUCGUUGUUAUCUAUUGUAUGUACUUUAUAUCAGACUUUAUUAAAUAUGAUUGUGUGCAUUGCAAUGGUGCAGAUGCCAGGGAUUUCAAUCUCCUUUUCAAAGAAAAGAAAUUAACUACUCCCUCCGUCCCAUAAUAUUAGAUCGUUUUAUAAACUGUUUUAUAGCUUACAGAACAAUCUUAUAUUUUGAGACGGGGGGAGUGGCUUUACUACAGAGAAGUUUGUUUAACCCUUCUAAAGCGUCAUCUGUUUUGGAACUGAGUGAGCGUAUGAUAUGCAUGUAGCAGCCGGCAGACGUAUGCAUGCCAAAUGACAUGUAGUACUAGUUAAUUAGUAGUAGUAGUAGUAUAAGGUUAGAUUGCGCGACAUCAAUCAUUCAACACAGACCGACUAUACGAGGUACUGAUAGUAGUUUAUUGUCGAAGGGCCAUAGGCCGUUCUUGGUACGGAUAGUAGUUUAGUUAGUUCAUCUAUGGAUUCUGCUUCUUCCUGGACGGGGCAUGCUGUGCGCAUGCAUGGCUGCAUGUUUGAGCUGCAUUUAACACGCGAGUUCGAUGCCAGAGGCUUAAUUAACUAGUCUUGCGAUUAUUAUUGUUUGAUUAGUAAAACGUUUCAGGCUAGGCUUUACGUACCGGAUGACGCAAGGAAGGAAGAAGGAAACAACUCAGGGAAAUACUCCAGCUUAGCUCUAGGUCAGACAAACACACGCACAGAGGAAGCCGGCAGGCAGGCAGGCAGGCAGGCAGGCAGGUGUGUUUGAUUAGGUUUUAUCCUUUACAACGAAAUGAUGUUUCGUUGGUAGGCAGCUACACACACCACAACCUGAUUUGCCUCAAGAAUUUGCUCCCGAGAACCUCACUCCGGAAUUACUUGUUGUCAAACGAAAGAUCUACUAAUAGAGUGUAACUUACGCUUCGCUGCUCGACUUUUUUAUGUGUUCAACUAACUGCUUUUUUAAAAAAGGUGGCAAAACAUUCUCAUCAAUUAAUUGAGAAGAAGAGAGUUGUCAAGUUAAUUUACGAAAAAUCAGGCAAAAAUCGAUACAAAUAACCCAAAGCGAACUACUCACAAAGAAUGAAACACCGUAAUCGUCCAAAGGACACUUCAAACACACAACAACCACAAUCCUCGACACUUGCACAACUCAACGGAACUCCUGACAAGCACACUUACAAUGACAAGAACUGGGCACCCUCCAUCAUAAAAUCAUGGACGCCUUUCCGAUGGCGCUACUCUUCUUACUUUUGUUCCUUUUUUCAUUUCUCCUUGCUUGGUUUCUUCUUAAAGGGGCAACCACUUGUCUUGCCAGCUGGGGGUUGAUCAGCCACCCAUUUGUCAACGAAAUCAUAAAACUCAUUGAAUUUCUUGGUGUAGCUAUCGUCAACCAAGACGCUCGUAGGAGCAGGCACCAACACACUGGUCGCAUCGACGUCCUCGACCAGAGGGACCACCGACACGACAUCAUCGACUAUAGGAACCAUGUCACAAUGGACUCAGGCACCUCCACUUGCUCACAUGACGGAGGCGAAACAUGUCCCUCACACGACUUCACCGAUGAGUCCACCUCCAACUGCUCCAAAGACAAGGGCGAAGCAGGACUCGGGCAUAGCUUCCGUAGCUCGGGCAUGAUCUGAAGCACCGGAGCCUCGAGCACAACGUUCUACUCACCCUCAGUGGUAGGCAUCACAGGGGACAAGGUCGACUGUGACGAUGAAUUGUUCUCAGCACGAGGGGAGAAACAUGCAUAUAAGCAUAUAGCUCUCGCCCUUCUUCCAUAGAGCCAACACCCUUCACAUGAGAAGGGCACAACGUUGGAGUAGUUUGCGACAAAGCCGGCACAAGGGAUAGUCUGCUUAGAACAGUUUCCGCCCACUCCAGAAAGCUCCCAACCCGCGCCAGCCAAUCCUGCAGCAGAGUUGUCUGACCAGCUAGAGCGGACUGCAACAUCAUAUAGGGCGGAGUUGCCGAGCCAACAGAAGCCGAGACGAUAGACGCCCAAGACCCAUGGCGAAGAAGUGCAGGUUGUACAAAGAUUCCAGGAACUGUUUUCACAAACAGAAGAAGAAUGACGGGGUUGGGGAUGGCACCGGGAUGUCGGAGGAAUAGGGGCGGUACGCUGCAUGGAGAAUGGAGGAGAAGCAUCGGUGUGCUGCUCCAGGGUGCUACUCCAGGUCCACCUCCCUGGCGUCAAUGGGUGCCAUAUCGUGACCUCGAGGCAGCGGUUCACCGUGGACACAAUUUGCAUGGGGAUUGGCCAUGGCGGCGAGACGGCAGAGUUAUGUGGGCGUGGUGCGGGAAUUUUUUUUUGGGAGGUUGUGGGGAUUAUUUCAAUUUUAAUUAGAUUCAGUGCAUCAUUAUCAUUAGGACAGGUGGCUAUUAUUUUAAUUAAUCAGAUUUGUCAUUAUCAUUACCAUUAAAACUAGGAAAGCAUAAAUCCACCCUUGAUAAGGAAUUACCAACGUGUCCUCGAGCCAUAAUCUGACCAAUCAGUGCUAACCAUUGGAUGAACCUAACAUUGUGUAGAACAAUGUACCAUACAAAAUCUCUAAAUCUAUGUUUGUGCAACUAACAACAUACUCCCUCCCCUUAACACAGUAUAAGACUUUUUUUUUGAAAAGCUAUGAUAACCACGUUCAAUAGAUAAAUACCCCAAAAGAUCAUUUCCUUGGUGUAGAAACAAAGAGAUUGUUUAUCAACUUGGUUCUAAAACGAUGGGUGUUAUUUUAUUUAUUUAUUUAUUUUGCGAAAACGAUGGGUGUUAAUUACUGACUACCUUGAUGAAAAAGAGCCAGCAAGUAUAAAUGAAGAGCAGACCUCAAGGUGUUCUAAAACAGAGGACACGGGCGGCCAGUGCGGGGGAGCGAGANNNNNNNNNNNNNNNNNNNNNNNNNNNNNNNNNNNNNNNNNNNNNNNNNNNNNNNNNNNNNNNNNNNNNNNNNNNNNNNNNNNNNNNNNNNNNNNNNNNNNNNNNNNNNNNNNNNNNNNNNNNNNNNNNNNNNNNNNNNNNNNNNNNNNNNNNNNNNNNNNNNNNNNNNNNNNNNCAAAGGAACAUAGGGAGCACAUUUGUACUGUAGCAUACCCAACAAUUCUACUUCUUUCACAAGAAAUGACUUACGGCUCGGCAUGAAUGAUUUGUUCACUCUGAAUAGCAGCGGCAUGGAUUUACAAAAUGGGAAGAAAACGAAACAAAAACACAGAUGAUCAAUGGCGGCACGCAUCAUCACGUUUAGUUUAUUCACUGAGAGCAAGCAGAGUAAAAAAGUUAGUAAGACAGUUCUCUUAUCCAGUACUUGUACAGACUUAAUGCAUGGACAUCCCUUAAAAAACACCCUUUUUUUCGCCUCAAACAAGAGAGAAGUACUUUAGAGCUUCAGAGUUUUAAAUGCCCUUCGCUACCAUGUCAUUCUGUGAUGCCUUACAAUCCCACAAGUCACUGUAUACAUACAUUCAUACAAACAUACAUAUGGUUCUGAGGAGAAAAUUAAUAAUGAAACAAAUAAUGUAUUGAGUGGAGGUGAGCCAUGUGGUUUUAAUCUUCGUCACCAUCAACUCUCAUUCAAAACCAGUGAUCCUUGACAGCUGCUAUUGGCUUCAAGAGCAUGUCNNN
rnacentral:lncRNA from 1 species